rnacentral:rRNA from 1 species
UACGUAGGUUCCGAGCGUUGUCCGGAUUUAUUGGGCGUAAAGCGAGCGCAGGUGGUUUAUUAAGUCUGGUGUAAAAGGCAGUGGCUCAACCAUUGUAUGCAUUGGAAACUGGUAGACUUGAGUGCAGGAGAGGAGAGUGGAAUUCCAUGUGUAGCGGUGAAAUGCGUAGAUAUACGGAGGAACACCGGUGGCGAAAGCGGCUCUCUGGCCUGUAACUGACACUGAGGCUCGAAAGCGUGGGGAGCAAACAGG